UACGAACCGUGCGACCGUUAUUCGGAAUCAUUGGGCUUAAAGGGCGCGUAGGCGGCGGUGUAAGUUGGAAGUGAAAUCCCAUCGGCUCAACCGUGGAAUUGCUCCCAGUACUGCAUCGCUCGAGGGGGAUAGGGGUUUGCGGAACUACCGGUGGAGCGGUGAAAUGUGUUGAUAUCGGUGGGAACGCCAGUGGCGAAAGCGGCAAACUUGACCCUUCCUGACGCUGAGGCGCGAAAGCUAGGGGAGCAAACGGG
rnacentral:rRNA from 1 species